AUCUGGCACCUUCGGUGUCCGAGUUGUAAUCUCUAGAAAUGUUUUCCGCGUUGGACCGCACACAAGUCUGUUGGAAUACAGCGGCAUAGUGGUGAGACCCCCGUAUAUGGUGCGGACGCCCAGCGCUUUGUGAUACAUUUUCGAAGAGUCGAGUUGUUUGGGAAUGCAGCUCAAAUUGGGUGGUAAAUUCCAUCUAAAGCUAAAUAUUGGCGAGAGACCGAUAGCGAACAAGUACCGUGAGGGAAAGAUGAAAAGCACUUUGGAAAGAGAGUUAACAGUACGUGAAAUUGUUGGAAGGGAAACGCUUGAAGUCAGACUUGCUUGCCGAGCAAUCGGUUUGCAGGCCAGCAUCAGUUUUCCGGGAUGGAUAAUGGUAGAGAGAAGGUAGCAGUUUCGGCUGUGUUAUAGCUCUCUGCUGGAAUACAUCUGGGGGGACUGAGGAACGCAGUGUGCCUUUGGCGGGGGUUUCGACCUCUUCACACUUAGGAUGCUGGUGGAAUGGCUUUAAACGACCCGUCUUGAAACACGGACCAAGGAGUCUAACAUGCUUGCGAGUAUUUGGGUGUCAAACCCGGAUGCGUAAUGAAAGUGAAUGGAGGUGGGAACCGCAAGGUGCACCAUCGACCGAUCUGGAUUUUUAAUGAUGGAUUUGAGUAAGAGCACGUAUGUUGGGACCCGAAAGAUGGUGAACUAUGCCUGAAUAGGGCGAAGCCAGAGGAAACUCUGGUGGAGGCUCGUAGCGGUUUCUGACGUGCAAAUCGAUCGUCAAA
rnacentral:rRNA from 1 species